rnacentral:rRNA from 1 species
UACUGGCUCAGGAUGAACGCUAGCGACAGGCUAACACAUGCAAGUCGAGGGGCAGCAUAGAAGUAGCAAUACUUGGUGGCGACCGGCGCACGGGUGAGUAACGCGUAUGCAACCUACCUAUCAGAGGGGAAUAACCCGGCGAAAGUCGGACUAAUACCGCAUAAAACAGGGGCACCGCAUGGUGAUAUUUGUUAAAGAAAUUCGCUGAUAGAUGGGCAUGCGUUCCAUUAGGUAGUUGGUGAGGUAACGGCUCACCAAGCCGACGAUGGAUAGGGGAACUGAGAGGUUGGUCCCCCACACUGGUACCGAGACACGGACCAGACUCCUACGGGAGGCAGCAGUGAGGAAUAUUGGUCAAUGGGCGGGAGCCUGAACCAGCCAAGUCCGCGUGAAGGAAGAAGGAUCUAUGGUUCGUAAACUUCUUUUGCAGGGGAAUAAAGUGCAGGACGUGUCCUGUUUUGUAUGUACCCUGAGAAUAAGGAUCGGCUAACUCCGUGCCAGCCGCGGC